AAAAACCGCAGAGGUGCGGUUUUCAAGAGUAAACGCGUGUAUCGUGAUUGCCAAAAUCCUAAGCCGCGUCAAAAGGGAAAACCGCCGAAGGCAGCGCGCGGCAAGCGCCGCCUGGCUGCAACGCUGAAAGGCUUGCGGCUGUCGCGUCCGUCGUGGCGCGUUGCGCUGCGGAAGGU
rfam:Subdoligranulum sp. 4_3_54A2FAA genomic scaffold supercont1.9, whole genome shotgun sequence.